CCCUUAGAUGUUCUGGGCCGCACGCGCGCUACACUGAUACAUUCAACAAGCCUAGCCUUGACCGAGAGGUCCGGGUAAUCUUUGAAACCGCAUCGUGAUGGGGAUAGAUUAUUGCAAUUAUUAAUCUUCAACGAGGAAUUCCUCGUAAGCGCGAGUCAUCAGCUCGCGUUGAUUACGUCCCUGCCCUUUGUACACACCGCCCGUCGCUGCCCGGAACUGAGCCGUUUCGAGAAGACUGAGGAUUGCUGACUUGAGGCCUUCACGGGCUUCUAGUCGGUGAAAAUCAAUUUAAUCGCAGCGGCUUGAACCGGGCAAAAGUCGUAACA
rnacentral:rRNA from 1 species